rnacentral:lncRNA from 1 species
AUAAUUUUUAACUGGAUAGGUCAUAUUGAGGUGAGGCAGAAUAUAAUAAGGAAAUGGGUAAAACUUCCUUUGCACAACUAGUAUGAAGGGUAAGAUUUUGGGUGUUUUAAUAUAGAAUUAAAAGUAAAAUUGGUUGGUAAAUAAUUGGGCAAAAGUUUGAAUCGAAAAUUUGAUUAAUAUGGAAAAGAUUGACUAAUAGUUAAUAGAAGUAAUUACAAGUCAUGAAAUAAUUAUGAAUCUUUUAUAAUAAAAUGAGCAAUUAGAUUGAAUCGAUAAUAGACUUAUGGAACUAAUGUGUAACUAAGGGAUAGUUGGAAAAAAAAAAAAAUUAUAAGGUGAAAAGUGUAGUAAGUGUAUUAGAUAUAGAUAUUAUAUAAGUAAGAUCCUAGCACAUGUAGGAUACUUAAAGGGGCUAGACUAAAUUCAUUAAUCUAUUAUACUAAAAUGAAUGUAGAAGAUGGUGCAUAACUUUACAUCAGAAAUGGGGAAUGAAUGGGGAAAGGAACGUGGAUGCGCUAGGAAAACUUAAUAAAUUAAGGGAAUUUGAUAUAUUUAGAUAGGGAGUUAUGUAAAAAGGAUUAAUACUAUUUAUUAAUCUAAGUUAAGUCUAAGAAAUUUACAUAAAAUCUACUUUAAAGAAUUAAGUACAAAAUUAGAUGAGGUGCUAAAUAGAAUGAAAUAAAGAUUUAAUAACAUUUGGAAAGGGAUAAAACAAAUCAAAGAUAACUCAUAAUGAUUAAGUAGAGAUUGAAAAAUUAGAAUAGGAAAUCUAAGGAGUAAUGGCCUUACGACGGAAUUAAAAUUUGUGUAGAAUGAUGGUUUUACGCCAUAGAUUCAUGUAUCCAUUAUUAAACUCUUUUACGGAUAAGAUUUAAAUGAGGUUAGGUACACUAAGAAGAUAUGGAGGAUAAAAGAAAGAUGAAGAUAAAUGAAAAAUCUAAAGAACUUGAAUAAGACUAGGAGAUGUUGAAUAGUAGAAAAGCCGAUAAUAUAGUCAAUUAAUUUCUC